UUGUUUAAUUGCCUAACCUAACAGAUUGUAGCUUCACAUUAUGUAAAAAUUAACUUCAGUAAAUACAUUCUGUGGCUGAAAUUAUAAUUUGCAAUUGCCUAUGGUAGCUGGUGAAAGGAUGGCCAUAACAUUUCAUCCCUAUUCCCAUUAAAAGGUAGGACCUGCUGCCUGAUUUCUAAGUCUCAAUUAGAUUAUGACUGACUCUGAUUAACUUAAUGAAGAACAUGCUAUUGUGUGAGUUUAGGCAUCUAAGGUUUCCAUCUUCAUCCUCCUGGAAUGUUCUCACCACAAUGCAAGGAAAUACAGGCUAGGUAAUGAACAAUUAAUGUGCUUUAUGAUGUCAGGCACAUGAAUGAGGCUCCAGCUCUAUCUAAGAAGCCAAUGACUAUAGCCACAGGAGUGCUCCUAACUGAGCCCAGUCAACUCAUGGACUCAUGAGAAAUGACAAAUAAUGAGUACUUUUAAGCCACUGAUUGUUUGUUUGUUUUGAGAUAGGGUCUCCUGGACCUGAAUCAAGGCUGGCAGCUUCCUGAUGCUGUUGGUUUCAAGCAGGAGCCUAAAGAGAUGUCUUCCUAUGGCCUGUUGGACGUUUCAGAACUUGGGCAGUGAAAUGGUCAAUUCAUUAGAAAGAAACGGCUUGAAUCAAUCUCCCCACCCCUCCAUGAGCGUGGCAGGUUGCAGUGGCCCAGGACAGGAGCCACCAGGAGUUUACUGGGACCCACAUCAUGCUGUAUCCUGGAGCGCUGGGAAACCAAGCAACCCCUUCCCCCAUGGUGAACAGCUGUGAGCAUGGCAGGCUUCGGUGGCCCAGAAAGGGAGCCACCAGCGUUUAAUGGGACCCACGCCAUGCUGGGAUCUGGUGCACCAGGAAACCAAUCAAUCCCUACCCACAGUGUGCCACCAAACUCACCACUGGGAAGCUAAAUGCUAAGGAAGUGCUGAAAUUUGGGUAUCUUUUCACAAGGCAGGAACGAAAAGAAAAGGGAGGAAGACUACCGAGACAGAGUACCUCUGUCAUUACUUCAUAUCAAGGAUUUUUAGUAUGACAUCGCUAUUGACACUAACUUUGAUCACCUGGCUGAGGAUUUCAAUACGCAGUUUGAACUGGCCUAGAACUCACUCAGUAUUCAAGGCUGGACUCCAACUAGCAGUGAUCAUCCUACCUCAGCUUUCCAAGUGCUGGGAUUACAGGCAUGUAUGUCACCAUGCCUGGUCAAAUAUGUAUAUUUUGCAACAGUGAAACUGAAGUACUUGGGAGUCAUUCAAUGCAUUAAGCAUAAAUAAAACAAAUUUUAGAACCACAGUUUCUUUAUCAGAUCAUAAGGCUAAAAGAUAAAUAAAAAGUUCACAAAAAAUAGGUCAACUACUAAAAGAUUCAAUGGCUCAUCUAUAGUAAAGAAAACCUGGGAAUUCAUUAUACACAGCAUAGAUGUUUGUCAAACACAAAAAUCUGUAUGAAUCAGAGCAGGUCUAAUGACGUGAGCUGUUUUGAUUUAUGCAGUCACAAUACAGCUUCAUUUUAAUAUGGCAGAGUUAGCUAAGCUCUAUGCGCUUCUAAGACACUUUUUAUAGUGCAUUAUUAUAGAAUUUACUAUAAAUAACUGCUUAGGUCUUUCCUUUUAUUAGCCUGUAAGAUCCUAAAGAUAACAAACUUUAUAAUCCUAAUAACAAACAUAAACUUUAGGGCUAAACUCAGUUUAUUUGUUAAAUUAAUGACUGUGUAAACAAGAUUGUCCUAAUCAGAUUUAGUUCCUAUAAUUUAUCUUCAUAGACGUAAUGAAAAUAUGCAUUAUACACUGACACUGAAAAUAAAGGUACAUCAUCUUCAAAAACAAAACAGUAUGUUCACUGGACAUUUACUCACUAAAUAUCUUCUUGGAUUCUACAAAACAUAUGGGCUUAUUCUAUUAAGUGUUAUAUUUAGGACAAGUACCUAACCAAUGUGUUCUUUUUAAAAAUGUAGAUCCUGUAUGGCUUUCUUACUCUAUGUACUCUGUAUUGUUUCUAAUCAGUUAUAAUUCACAUUUUUUAAAGUA